rnacentral:rRNA from 1 species
GCGGCAAACGGGUGAGUAACGCGUGGGAAUCUGCCUUUUAGUGGAGAAUACCCUCGAGAAAUCGAGGUUAAUACUGCAUACGUCCUUCGGGAGAAAGAUGCCUUUAAUGGUGUCGCUAAGAGAUGAGCCUGCGUACUAUUAGCUAGUUGGUGAGGUAAAUGCUUACCAAGGCUUUGAUGGUAGCCGACCUGAGAGGGUGUACGGCCACACUGGAACUUAGACACGGUCCAGACUCCUACGGGAGGCAGCAGUGAGGAAUCUUGCGCAAUGGGCGAAAGCCUGACGCAGCGACGCCGCGUGGAGGAUGAAGGUCUUCGGAUUGUAAACUUCUGUUAAGUGGGAAGAAAAGCAGGGUUCAAAUAAAGCCCUGUGUUGACGGUACCAUUAGAGAAAGCACCGGCUAACCUCGAGCCAGCAGCCGCGGUAAUACGAAGGGUGCGAGCGUUAUUCGGAAUCAUUGGGCGUAAAGGGUGCGUAGGCGGUGCGUUAGGUCAGUUGUUAAAUCCCCCAGCCUAACUGGGGAUCGGCGGCAGAUACUGGCGUGCUUGAGGAUGGAAGAGAGAAGUGGAAUUCUUGGAGUAGCGGUAAAAUGCGUAGAUCUCAAGAGGAACACCAAUGGCGAAGGCAGCUUCUUGGUCCAUAACUGACGCUGAUGCACGAAAGCGUGGGGAGCAAACAGGAUUAGAUACCCUGGUAGUCCACGCCGUAAACGAUGAUCACUAGACGUUGGUCUUGCUUUGCAAGAUUAGUGUCGUAGCUAACGCGAUAAGUGAUCCGCCUGGGGACUACGAUCGCAAGAUUAAAACUCAAAGGAAUUGACGGGGGUCCGCACAAGCGGUGGAACAUGUGGUUUAAUUCGACACUACGCGAGGAACCUUACCUAGGUUUGACAUGUAUAUGACCGCUACAGAAAC